AGAGUUUGAUCCUGGCUCAGGAUGAACGCUGGCGGCGUGCUUAACACAUGCAAGUCGAACGAACCUUCGGGUUAGUGGCGGACGGGUGAGUAACGCGUGAGAAUCUGCCCUCAGGAGGGGGAUAACGGCUGGAAACGGCCGCUAAUACCCCAUAUGCCGAGAGGUGAAAUGAAUUUCGCCUGAGGAUGAGCUCGCGUCUGAUUAGCUAGUUGGUGUGGUAAAGGCUCACCAAGGCAUCGAUCAGUAGCUGGUCUGAGAGGAUGAUCAGCCACACUGGGACUGAGACACGGCCCAGACUCCUACGGGAGGCAGCAGUGGGGAAUUUUCCGCAAUGGGCGCAAGCCUGACGGAGCAACGCCGCGUGAGGGAUGAAGGCCUCUGGGCUGUAAACCUCUUUUAUCAAGGAAGAAGAUCUGACGGUACUUGAUGAAUAAGCCACGGCUAAUUCCGUGCCAGCAGCCGCGGUAAUACGGGAGUGGCAAGCGUUAUCCGGAAUUAUUGGGCGUAAAGCGUCCGCAGGCGGUCUUGAAAGUCUGUUGUUAAAGCGUGGAGCUCAACUCCAUUUCAGCAAUGGAAACUAGAAGACUAGAGUGUGGUAGGGGCAGAGGGAAUUCCCGGUGUAGCGGUGAAAUGCGUAGAUAUCGGGAAGAACACCAGUGGCGAAGGCGCUCUGCUGGGCCAUAACUGACGCUCAUGGACGAAAGCCAGGGGAGCGAAAGGGAUUAGAUACCCCUGUAGUCCUGGCCGUAAACGAUGAACACUAGGUGUCGGGGGAAUCGACCCCCUCGGUGUCGUAGCCAACGCGUUAAGUGUUCCGCCUGGGGAGUACGCACGCAAGUGUGAAACUCAAAGGAAUUGACGGGGGCCCGCACAAGCGGUGGAGUAUGUGGUUUAAUUCGAUGCAACGCGAAGAACCUUACCAGGGUUUGACAUCCUGCGAAUCCCUUGGAAACUUGGGAGUGCCUUCGGGAGCGCAGUGACAGGUGGUGCAUGGCUGUCGUCAGCUCGUGUCGUGAGAUGUUGGGUUAAGUCCCGCAACGAGCGCAACCCACGUCUUUAGUUGCCAGCAUUAAGUUGGGCACUCUAGAGAGACUGCCGGUGAUAAACCGGAGGAAGGUGUGGAUGACGUCAAGUCAUCAUGCCCCUUACAUCCUGGGCUACACACGUACUACAAUGCUACGGACAAAGGGCAGCAAACUCGCGAGAGCUAGCAAAUCCCAUAAACCGUGGCUCAGUUCAGAUCGUAGGCUGCAACUCGCCUACGU
rnacentral:rRNA from 1 species